rnacentral:rRNA from 1 species
UACGUAGGGUGCAAGCGUUAAUCGGAAUUACUGGGCGUAAAGCGUGCGUAGGCGGUUUGUUAAGUUCGAUGUGAAAGCCCCGGGCUCAACCUGGGAAUGGCAUUGGAAACUGGCGGACUCGAGUGUGGCAGAGGGGGUGGGAAUUCCGCGUGUAGCAGUGAAAUGCGUAGAGAUGCGGAGGAACACCGAUGGCGAAGGCAGCCCCCUGGGCUAACACUGACGCUCAGGCACGAAAGCGUGGGGAGCAAACAGG